rnacentral:rRNA from 1 species
CACUAGUGAUUCAGCCGCCGCGGUAAUUCGGGAGUGGCAAGCGUUAUCCGGAAUUAUUGGGCGUAAAGCGUCCGCAGGCGGCCCUUCAAGUCUGCUGUUAAAACGUGGAGCUUAACUCCAUCAUGGCAGUGGAAACUGUUGGGCUUGAGUGUGGUAGGGGCAGAGGGAAUUCCCGGUGUAGCGGUGAAAUGCGUAGAUAUCGGGAAGAACACCAGUGGCGAAGGCGCUCUGCUGGGCCAUAACUGACGCUCAUGGACGAAAGCCAGGGGAGCGAAAGGGAUUAGAUACCCCUGUAGUCCUGGCCGUAAACGAUGAACACUAGGUGUCGGGGGAAUCGACCCCCUCGGUGUCGUAGCCAACGCGUUAAGUGUUCCGCCUGGGGAGUACGCACGCAAGUGUGAAACUCAAAGGAAUUGAUGGGGGCCCGCACAAGCGGUGGAGUAUGUGGUUUAAUUCGAUGCAACGCGAAGAACCUUACCAGGGUUUGACAUCCUGCGAAUCUCUUGGAAACGAGAGAGUGCCUUCGGGAGCGCAGUGACAGGUGGUGCAUGGCUGUCGUCAGCUCGUGUCGUGAGAUGUUGGGUUAAGUCCCGCAACGAGCGCAACCCACGUCUUUAGUUGCCAGCAUUUAGUUGGGCACUCUAGAGAGACCGCCGGUGAUAAACCGGAGGAAGGUGUGGAUGACGUCAAGUCAUCAUGCCCCUUACAUCCUGGGCUACACACGUACUACAAUGCUACGGACAAAGAGCAGCAAGUUCGCGAGGACAAGCAAAUCUCAUAAACCGUGGCUCAGUUCAGAUCGUAGGCUGCAACUCGCCUACGUGAAGGAGGAAUCGCUAGUAAUCGCAGGUCAGCAUACUGCGGUGAAUACGUUCCCGGGCCUUGCACACACCGCCCGUCA